GCUGCAAAGACAACAGCAAGAACAGUGAAAGCAAAUGAGACAACUACAGCGAAGGCCAAUAAAAGGGAAAACAAAGUCUCCGGAGCCGUGAUGUUUUGGGAAACCGAGAAGGCCACAGCAAGCUGGUUUGGACUGGCACAAAGAGCACCAGGAACAGAGGUCGUGGAAUGGAACACCCCCAAAGGAGCCCAGGGCUUAAAACCCUCCUGAGAGCUGGAGCAAUUCAGAGAGCACAGCAGAUCCUUGGACGGCCUGGACCCAGGACAGAACUCCCAUCCACCUUUCCCCCUCCGCUUCUUCUGACGUUACACCCAGACUUGGCCAGCCUGGGAGGCGUGUCCAGGUUCCCUUCUUCAGGUGGAAGUGAGGCUGCUCAAGUGGAGACAUCUGACAUCUCCAGGUGUUACCAAUGGGUAUAAAGGACAACAUAUGUGAGGCUUCCAGAAUGGAGGAAGCGGCUAGCCCCCAUCUAUCAUCAUGG